rnacentral:misc_RNA from 1 species
GAUGAAGAACGUAGCGAAACGCGAUAUGUAAUGUGAAUUGCAGAAUUCAGUGAAUCAUCGAAUCUUUGAACGCACAUGGCGCCUUCCAGUAUCCUGGGAGGCAUGCCUGUCCGAGCGUCGUUUCAACCCUCGAGCCCCCGUGGCCCGGCGUUGGGGAUCUGCCACGGCAGGCCCCUAAAACCAGUGGCGGACCCGAAGGCCCUCUCCUUUGCGCAGUAGCAUCAGCCUCGCAUUGGGAUCCCUCGGCGUCCUGCCUCUAAACCCCCCACAAGUCCGCUCCGGCGGCACCAAGGUUGACCUCGGAUCAGGUAGGAAUACCCGCUGAACUUAAGCAUAUCAAUACGGAGGA